UCGAUGUCGGCUCAUCACAUCCUGGGGCUGAAGUAGGUCCCAAGGGUAUGGCUGUUCGCCAUUUAAAGUGGUACGCGAGCUGGGUUUAGAACGUCGUGAGACAGUUCGGUCCCUAUCUGCCGUGGGCGCUGGAGAAUUGAGGGGGGCUGCUCCUAGUACGAGAGGACCGGAGUGGACGCAUCACUGGUGUUCGGGUUGUCAUGCCAAUGGCACUGCCCGGUAGCUAAAUGCGGAAGAGAUAAGUUCUGAAAGCAU
rnacentral:rRNA from 1 species